AACGAACGCUGGCGGCAUGCCUAACACAUGCCAGUCGAACGAGCCCUUCGGGUAUAGUGUCGCACGGGUGCGUAACGCGUGGGAACCUGCCCUUAGGUUCGGAAUAACUCCCCGAAAGGGGUGCUAUUACCGGGUAAUGUCUCCGGACCAAAGAUUUAUCGCCUUUGGAUGGGCCCGCGUUGGAUUAGCUAGUUGGUAGGGUAAAAGCCUACCAAGGCGACGAGCCAUAGCUGGUCUGAGAGGAUGAUCAGCCACACUGGGACUGAGACACGGCCCAGACUCCUACGGGAGGCAGCAGUGGGGAAUAUUGGACAAUGGGCGAAAGCCUGAUCCAGCAAUGCCGCGUGAGUGAUGAAGGCCUUAGGGUUGUAAAGCUCUUUUACCCGGGAUGAUAAUGACAGUACCGGGAGAAUAAGCUCCGGCUAACUCCGUG
rnacentral:rRNA from 1 species